UACGUAGGGGGCGAGCGUUGUUCGGAUUUACUGGGCGUAAAGAGCGCGUAGGCGGCCGGAUAAGUCCGUUGUGAAAUCCCCCGGCUCAACCGGGGACCCGCUUCGGAAACUAUCCGGCUUGAGUCGCGGAGAGGAGAGCGGAAUUCCCAGUGUAGCGGUGAAAUGCGUAGAUAUUGGGAGGAACACCGGUGGCGAAGGCGGCUCUCUGGACGCGUACUGACGCUGAGGCGCGAAAGCUAGGGGAGCAAACGGG
rnacentral:rRNA from 1 species